rnacentral:rRNA from 1 species
UGGGGAAUAUUGCACAAUGGGCGCAAGCGUGAUGCAGCCAUGCCGCGUGUAUGAAGAAGGCCUUCGGGUUGUAAAGUACUUUCAGCAGUGAGGAAGGAGGUAUCGUUAAUAGCGGUAUCUUUUGACGUUAGCUGCAGAAGAAGCACCGGCUAACUCCGUGCCAGCAGCCGCGGUAAUACGGAGGGUGCGAGCGUUAAUCGGAAUUACUGGGCGUAAAGCGCAUGCAGGUGGUUUGUUAAGUCAGAUGUGAAAGCCCGGGGCUCAACCUCGGAAUUGCAUUUGAAACUGGCAGGCUAGAGUACUGUAGAGGGGGGUAGAAUUUCAGGUGUAGCGGUGAAAUGCGUAGAGAUCUGAAGGAAUACCGGUGGCGAAGGCGGCCCCCUGGACAGAUACUGACACUCAGAUGCGAAAGCGUGGGGAGCAAACAGGAUUAGAUACCCUGGUAGUCCACGCCGUAAACGAUGUCUACUUGGAGGUUGUGGCCUUGAGCCGUGGCUUUCGGAGCUAACGCGUUAAGUAGACCGCCUGGGGAGAAAGGUCGCAAGAUUAAAACUCAAAUGAAUUGACGGGGGCCCGCACAAGCGGUGGAGCAUGUGGUUUAAUUCGAUGCAACGCGAAGAACCUUACCUACUCUUGACAUCCAGAGAACUUAGCAGAGAUGCUUUGGUGCCUUCGGGAACUCUGAGACAGGUGCUGCAUGGCUGUCGUCAGCUCGUGUUGUGAAAUGUUGGGUUAAGUCCCGCAACGAGCGCAACCCUUAUCCUUGUUUGCCAGCGAGUAAUGUCGGGAACUCCAGGGAGACUGCCGGUGAUAAACCGGAGGAAGGUGGGGACGACGUCAAGUCAUCAUGGCCCUUACGAGUAGGGCUACACACGUGCUACAAUGGCGCAUACAGAGGGCAGCCAACUUGCGAAAGUGAGCGAAUCCCAAAAAGUGCGUCGUAGUCCGGAUUGGAGUCUGCAACUCGACUCCAUGAAGUCGGAAUCGCUAGUAAUCGUGAAUCAGAAUGUCACGGUGAAUACGUUCCCGGGCCUUGUACACACCGCCCGUCACACCAUGGGAGUGGGCUGC